GAAAUGUAUAAAAACGAACAAAUAAUCAUAGUGCUAGAUUGUUCUGUGUCUAGUACUCCGUUUUUUACGUCUCGUUGAAUAAUUCGAUUUUUAUAGAAAAUGACAAGAUAGAAACGAGCUUUGGACAACACAUGACACACAACGUGUUGAGUUUGCAGCAAAGUAUGUUAUAAAAAACGAUUAAAAACUAAAAAAGUGAAUAAAGCGAUGUACAAGAAAAGACUUACCUUCAAAGCGAUGAAUAGUUCGAUCAAAACCAAAACAGAUUUACUGAUGUUCCCUUCAAAUGAUGCAGUCGUCAGAAGUCAUAGGAUUUAUCUGUUCAAAGAGCAAAUUUAAUGAGAGAGAAGUUCAUGUUUGGAUUGUUUAUGAGAGAGUUUGAGAUUUCGAACUUGAAACGGAAGCAAGAAUAUCAAUAACGCGAAGUAGAGAAAAUGGAAUGAACGUGCACAAAAGGACGAUGCUUGAACACAAAAAGUGCACGAAAUAUAAAAUAAAGUUAAGCUAACAAAACUGACCACAAAAUAAAAACUACCAUCAACAAAUGGAUCUAAGAAAUAAACAAAAAAUAAAUACACAGUAAACUAUGCGAACAUCGAAAUCAUUAUCUCUUCAUAAAAGAACGAUAAUAACCUGUAACAUCGCAGUGAUUUAUCUCAAAUCUUUAAAAUGUAAGAUGUUGAAAUAAACACUUGUGUGUUCUAUUGUUAAAUGGCAUGAAUUCAAAAAUAAAACAUAAUAAAUACCGCAAA